UCUACGGGGGGCAGCAGUGGGGAAUAUUGGACAAUGGGGGGAACCCUGAUCCAGCCAUGCCGCGUGUGUGAAGAAGGCCCUCGGGUUGUAAAUCACUUUCAGUGAGGAAGAACGCCUGGUGGUUAAUACCCAUCAGGAAAGACAUCACUCACAGAAGAAGCACCGGCUAACUCCGUGCCAGCAGCCGCGGUAAUACGGAGGGUGCGAGCGUUAAUCGGAAUUACUGGGCGUAAAGCGCGCGUAGGUGGCUUGAUAAGCCGGUUGUGAAAGCCCCGGGCUCAACCUGGGAACGGCAUCCGGAACUGUCAAGCUAGAGUGCAGGAGAGGAAGGUAGAAUUCCCGGUGUAGCGGUGAAAUGCGUAGAGAUCGGGAGGAAUACCAGUGGCGAAGGCGGCCUUCUGGACUGACACUGACACUGAGGUGCGAAAGCGUGGGUAGCAAACAGGAUUAGAUACCCGAGUAGUC
rnacentral:rRNA from 1 species